rnacentral:rRNA from 1 species
UACGUAGGGUGCAAGCGUUUGUCCGGAAUUAUUGGGCGUAAAGAGCUCGUAGGCGGUUUGUCGCGUCGGCUGUGAAAGCCCGGAGCUCAACUCCGGGUCUGCAGUCGAUACGGGGCAGACUUGAGUGUUGCAGGGGAGACUGGAAUUCCUGGUGUAGCGGUGAAAUGCGCAGAUAUCAGGAGGAACACCGGUGGCGAAGGCGGGGUCUCUGGGCAACAACUGACGCUGAGGAGCGAAAGCGUGGGGAGCGAACAGG